CCUACGGGUGGCUGCAGUAAGGAAUAUUGGUCAAUGGACGAAAGUCUGAACCAGCCAUCCCGCGUGCAGGAUGAAAGCCCUAUGGGUUGUAAACUGCUUUUAGCAGAGAAGAAAAGCUUUCAUUAAUGAGAGUCUGACGGUAUCUGCAGAAUAAGCACCGGCUAACUCCGUGCCAGCAGCCGCGGUAAUACGGAGGGUGCGAGCGUUAUCCGGAAUUACUGGGUUUAAAGGGGGGUUAGGAGGCGGAGGAGAAAUCUUGUCGCGUAACGAUAAAAUUGCCAAGGAUACUGGUACUCUUGAAUUGGGUUGAGGUGAGCGGAAUGUGACAUGUAGCGGUGAAAUGCAUAGAUAUGUCAUGGAACACCAAUUGCGAAGGCAGCUAACUGGGCCUUGAUUGACGCUGAGGCACGAAAGCGUGGGUAGCGAACAGGAUUAGAUACCCCUGUAGUC
rnacentral:rRNA from 1 species